CCUACGGGAGGCAGCAGUGAGGAAUAUUGGUCAAUGGUCGGGAGACUGAACCAGCCAAGCCGCGUGAGGGAUGAAGGUACAGAGUAUCGUAAACCUCUUUUGUCAGGGAACAAAGGCGGGGACGUGUCCCCGGAUGAGUGUACCUGAAGAAAAAGCAUCGGCUAACUCCGUGCCAGCAGCCGCGGUAAUACGGAGGAUGCGAGCGUUAUCCGGAUUUAUUGGGUUUAAAGGGUGUGCAGGCGGUCUGUUAAGUCAGCGGUAAAAGCCCGGGGCUCAACCCCGGCCCGCCGUUGAAACUGGCAGUCUCGAGUUGGAGAGAAGUAUGCGGAAUGCGCGGUGUAGCGGUGAAAUGCAUAGAUAUCGCGCAGAACUCCGAUUGCGAAGGCAGCAUGCCGGCUCCACACUGACGCUGAGGCACGAAAGCGUGGGUAUCGAACAGGAUUAGAUACCCUUGUAGUC
rnacentral:rRNA from 1 species